GUUCUGACAAUAGCUUAGUUGGAAAAGCAUGAGACUCUUAUUAAUCUCAGGGUUGUGGAUUCGAGCCCCACAUUGGACA